UGUCGCCUGGCAUGGGAGGGGAAGAGGAGCGUGCCCCGGAGGAACCCGCCUCGGGCGACUCGUCCGGCCGAUGAAAGCAAGAGAUCGCUGCCAAGUGUGGGGGCCCCGGCACCUGCUGCCCCCUGGCACCGUCUGCUCGACGGCCCCGAGAAAGAAAGGCGUCUGUCUCCUCUUGCCCCAGCCCCCCCGAGCUGCGCUCGCACGGAAAGUUCCGAGUCCCGGGUCCGCACUCCCACCCACCCCGAGCACGGCUUGGACCGGGAUCAGCCUGGAUCCCAGCGAGUCGUUUUGCAUCGUGGGCACAGAGAUGCCGUCUAUGGCAAGAGCCGCGGAGGAGAGAGUCCCCGUUUGCAACGGGCUGUUGGCAACGGCACAGUGCCUGGCACAUAGCAGACGAAUAUGCCCAUUCCCUUCCUUUUGUAAUCCCCCCUUCCCCUCCCCUCCUCUCCCCUUCUCUCCCUUUUUACUGAGGCUACUCUGAAUCCCAUUAUCCCUCCCUCCCUCACUCCUGAGCCAAUUAAUCAAGCAGCACGCGGCACGUUUAAAGGGAAAGUGCCGGCGGAGGCCUUUUGGUACCCGAGAGAGGGGCCCGGCCUUCCCAAGGAGAGGACUUGGAGUGUGACCUUAGCCAAGCUCUUAGCAAAGAUGUUAAAUCUCGGCGCUUCCCUUUCCCCUCUAACAUAUAGGGGGUGGACUAGUAGACACUCUCACUGAAGUCCCUUCUAUCCCUGAUCCUGCAGUCUUGCUUGAAACUAUAUGGAGAGAGGGGGAGGAGGAAGGGGAGGGGGGUGAUUGUGGAGAAAGACUACUCCAAAGUGUUAAGAAGCCGGUGGCCAAAAUCCCUGCGAAUGAAUAUGCAAAUAGAUGGUGACGAAUUCUCAAUUUCGGCUGCUCUCUUGUCAGCAGACGUGCUGAAAUCCUGAGGGCAAAAGUAGAAGUCUUGAAAAAAAUGAUGUGAAAUGAAGUGGGGCAAGACAGAUUUGGCGAAUUGCUUUUUAUAGCCCUCAGGCCGGCAAUGAGGAUGUCUGCCAGCUGUCUGCCCGCUUCCCUCCAGUAUCUGUGGGGCUUUUCCUGGAGUGAGGAAAACAUAAUAGUCUUGGUCAAUGGAAGUGUGAUUCGGAGCCAGUGACCUAAAUCUAUAGACUCUGGCAUGGAGCUGGCCAGAUUAAAUGCAAUGGGAAACUGCCUUUUGCUAGAUUACAUAGAUUUAAUGGAAUGCUACCCACCGAGAGCCCGAGCCACGAAGGCAGAGGACUUCUCCUUGUUUCUUGGGAUGAUUUUAGUAGCGCUGGAAGCCCUUCCAAGCUUUGUCCAAAGUUCAAACGAAUCCAAGUAAACAGAACGAGGGCUGGAAGGCGAUUCCUGGCCCUUCCUUGGGCCAGGCAAUGUGUUUAACAAAUAGAUCAUCUUUAAUAUACUAGGACUUAUGCAGGAAUAGCUAGAACAUAGAAUUUGCCCAUCCAGAUGUCAGAGGUGAUUGCCAGGGUCUUCGAAACGCUGCCACAGGCAGAUAGCGGAGGGACCCUUGAGUCACCGACCUUAAGGAACAAGUCACCACAGCCCACUGAAUCAAUAUUGUCUAAAUAAUCCAGACUACGACUCCAAUAGACACGGAGGGCAGUAGCAUAUUAUUAGGGUGGGCAAAUGAGAGCUACCAAAAAGGGGGCCAGAGCAAUAUAGCCGGCAAGAUCUCUCUUCCCUGAGCAGUCACAGAGGUCCCAGGGAAGCUAGGGCCGGAUUAUAGGCUUCGUUGGCAAAAGUGGCAAAUAUCUCUCUAUUAGGGUUUGGGGGGUUGUUUUUCACAGACCACCUUAACCGUUGACUCACCGGAUCAGUUUCCCAAAGUCACAUUGGCAGGUAAAUGGAAGGAGACCGGGCAAGGGCAUACAUCCUAGGCAGGAGAAUUGCCCAUGAAAAGGCAAUCAGGAGAUAGAACAACAAGGAAGUCAGCAAUACAUGGGGGGAAAGAGGGAAUAAAAAGGUUGUAAGUGGAAGAAGGGGCUAGGUUAGAAAAGGCAUUAAAAGCCAAAGAUCUUUAGAUUUAGGGGAGCUAGGUGGUACAGUGGCUAGAACCCCAGGCUUGGAGUUAGGAAGACCCUGUAUUCAAAUUUGACCUCAGAUACCUACUAGUUAUUUCACUCUAGGCAAUUCACUUAAUGGCUAUUUGCCUCAGUUUCCUCAUUUGGAAAAUGGGUACAAUAGGAUCACCUACCUCCCAGGUAGUUGUCGUGAGGAACCAAUGAAAUUAUCGUUGUAAAGCACUUAGCGUUGUGCUUGGCAUGCAGGAGGUGCCGCAUAAAUGUUAGCUGUUGUCAUUUGAUCCUGGAAGAAUAGGGAGCCAUUGGAGUGGAGGGGAGGGUGACAUGGUGGAAUCUGUGCUUUAGGAAAAUCACUUUGGCAACUGAGUGGAGGAUGGUCUGGACUGGGGAGAGACUUGAAUCAGGCCGACCUCUCCAGCACCUAUUGCAAUAGUCCACGAGAGAGGUGAAGAAGACCAGCACCAGGAUGGGGACGAUGUCAGAAGAGAAAAGGGGGGAGCAUUUGAGAGAUAUUGCAAAGGUCAGAUCCGUAGACUUUGGCAACCAAGUGGACGUGGAGGGUGAGAGAUAGUGAGGAGCCCAGAAUAAUACCCAGAUUGUGAAUCUGAGGGACCGGGAGGGUAGUGAUGCUCUCAAGAGUAAUGGAAGGAGGAAUUCUAAGCUUAGUUUUGUAUACAUAAUGAGUUUAAGCUGUCUGUAGGACAUCCAGAUCGAAAUAUCCCAUCAGCCCUAGGGGAUUAGUGAUUGGGAGAAAGACGAAAGCUGAAUAUGUAUCAUAGAGAUAAUAAACUAAUGGGAGAGCUGAAGUCUGCACGUGAAACAAGCAUGGAGAGGGAAGAAGAAAAGGUCCAGGGGUGGGGAUGGGGAAGGGAAGUCUUACAGUUAAGCAGGACAAAACUCACACAUACACUACAGGUGAAUCUUGCUUUAAGAAAACCUGAUCCGGCACCAGAAGAUCAGCACUUACAAAACCAACAAAUUAGGAAAUAUUUUCAUUGUACAAUAAUUCUUGCUUCAUAAAUCGAUUUACCAGAAAGAUCCUUUAGUGAGUUUCCCUAGUGUUUUUAAGAUGCAUUUCCUUUUGCCACCACCACCCCCCCAAAAAAAAUAUCAAGUCAUUUUUAAGGCAUAUAUCUUUUGUGUAAAAUGAGACGUCUCCAAAGCAGAGCAUCUUCAUCUUUUUUGUGUUGUGUGGGAUCCUUUGGGAAGGCAGCCUGGGGAAGCCCGGGGACCCUUUCUCAGAAAAAUGUUUUUAAAUGCAUAAAAUACAUGAUUCUGAAGAAUAUCAAUGAUACUGAAAUGUACUUAUUAAAAUAUUAAAACUACACAUUUUCAGAACCCCA